GUGAGGUAAUGGCUCACCAAGGCUAAGACGGAUAGCUGGUCUGAGAGGAUGGUCAGCCACACUGGGACUGAGACACUGCCCAGACUCCUACGGGAGGCUGCAGUCGAGAAUCAUUCACAAUGCGCGAAAGCGUGAUGAUGCGACGCCGCGUGGAGGAUGAAGGCCUUCGGGUUGUAAACUCCUGUCAGCAGGGAUUAAAUGCAUCUUGGUCAACAGCCUUGAUGUUUGACUUUACCUGCAGAGGAAGCCACGGCUAACUUCGUGCCAGCAGCCGCGGUAAUACGAAGGUGGCGAGCGUUGUUCGGAUUUACUGGGCGUAAAGGGUGCGUAGGUGGUUUGGUAUGUCGGAUGUGAAAGCCCACGGCUCACCCGUGGAAUUGCAUUCGAAACUGCCAGACUAGAGUAUCGGAGAGGUAAGUGGAAUUCUUGGUGUAGCGGUGAAAUGCGUAGAUAUCAAGAGGAACACCGGUGGCGAAGGCGACUUACUGGACGAAUACUGACACUGAUGCACGAAAGCUGGGGUAGCGAAGAGGAUUAGAUACCCUCGUAGUCCCAGCCGUAAACGGUGUGCACUUGGUGUAGGAGGU
rnacentral:rRNA from 1 species